GACGAAAAUGACAAGCAUUGUUCGGAAUUACUAAACAUAAAGCACGCGUAAACAACUGUGUAAAUCAGGUGUGAAAACCCUCGGCUCAACCAAAAAACUACGCCUGAUACUGCACGGCUUGAGGUCCAAAGAAAAAAGUGGAAUUCCCAGUGGAGCGGUGAAAUGCGUAGAGAUCGGGAAGAACGCCGGCAGCGAAAGCGACUCUCUAAUCGGAAUCUGACGCUGAAACGCGAAAGCUAGAAAAGCAAACGGG
rnacentral:rRNA from 1 species